UUCCUUUAUUUGGUUGAGGAGGUAAAUUUCCCACAAAGUUUCACUUUUUAAAAAUCAAAUUAUUGCAACACUUUCCUAGAAAUGUUGCAUUAUAUGUUAAUAAGCAACACUUAUUAAUUUUACAUACAAAGUAUUAGUUUUCUAAUCAAAUGCUAACAUAUAAAUUAAGUGUUGCAAAUAAAGAUUAUUAGAGACUUAUUUUCAAGUAGUGUGGGUUGAACAAGUCAAAGUCGAGCAUUAGUUGUUGUCUAAGACUUUGAAGAUUAGUUCAGCAUAACCAGUUGGAGAAAUCAAGGAAUAAAGUUUCAAUUGUUUUAACGACUAUGUUUGAGGCGUAACAUAUAUAUAUUUAAGAGGCUUUAUUCAAGAAUUAAGAGGAUUACAACACAAUUUACAACUUAGCAUUCUACUUUGAGUCUUAAGAUAAAAAAGUGUUGUAAACUUAAUUCAUCUAACUCUCUCAUUGUAAUAGGUCUUAGAGUAAAAUCAAGUUAGAACAUUAAUUUCAUCUACACCUUAAAGCUUGGAAUACUUUUAAAAGUAUUCAUUUGAUUUCUCUAUGUGAGAUUGAGAUUAGAACUUUUAUUAAGAGAAAUUGUAAAAUGUUUUUCACGGGGAAGAGCAUGGUGAGAGAAGAUAGAGAGAUCUUCGUGGUCAUCUAGGGUUCAUUAAUAAAAGGCGCUGAAUCCUAAAGGUUGGAGAAGAACCCAUAAGCGGAGAAUAUUCGACAUAAAAAAGUUCCAGAAAAGUGUUUUGAAAGGUCUCCUAAGUUCUUGAGCUAACCUUCCAGAGAAAAAUUUUAAACGGACAUACUCUGAUUCACCCCCCCUUCUAGAGAGUAUUCGAUCUCCUAUGAACCUUCAAUUUGUAUGAGAGUUGUGUAUCACGUAUAAAGAUUAAUAUCUUGUGAUGGAUCCGAUAGGAAAAGGGCUGUUUGCUCAAGGUCGUUCGUGCUCUAGACCUUCUUUAAUUUUUGGAGCGAAUUUCUCUCGUUGGAAAACUUUGAUGAAGAUGUUUGUGAUUGAUCAAGAUGUGGAACUUUGUGACAUCAUAACCAAAGGGUUUAAGGUGCCAAUGAAAAAGGACGCUCAAGGUAAUGAUGUUGAAUCAAUCGUGUUGCGAUUUAAAUGAUAACGAGUUUAGUAGGGUUUAAUCAAGCACAAGUACUAAGGAAUAUGGGAUAAGUUUGUUGUGACGUAUAAAGGAAAAAGUCAAGUCAAGGAGACAAAGAUCAACAUCCUCAUGCAUCAAUACCAAAUGUUCAAGAUGAAAAAUGAUGAGAAUAUUAGUGAAAUGUUUACUCCUUUUAAAUUGAUUACUAACAGUUUGAAUUCCGUUGGCAAAACUUUUACUAAUGCAGAAAAAGUCCAGAAGAUCUUGAGGUGUUUUGCAAUAUCUAUAUGGGGUGCAAAAGUCACCGCCAUUAAAGAAGCUCAAGACUUGACAGUACUAUUACUUGACGAUCUUCUUGGAAAGCUCACAACUCAUGAACUUACCCUACAUGAUGAUGGAGAAUGUGAUAUCACGCCAUCCAUAAAGAAUCUUGCACUAAAGGCAAAGAAGCAUCAAUAAUCCUCACGCGAAAAAGAGGAAAGUGAUGACGAGGAAGAUCCAUUUGCCUUAAUCACAAAAGGUCAAGAAGGAAUUAUGAGAAUGUGAAAAAGAUAUAAAAAAUUCAAAUUUAGAAACGACUACAAAGGUAAAUCUUCUAAUUCCAAUUCUAAAACUAACAAACUUGCUUGUUUUGAGUGUGGAUCUACAGAGCAUCUUGUAAAGAAAUAACAUAAAAAGAAAAAUGAAUACUAUAAGAAAAACAAAAAGAAAGAAGCAAUAAUUGCUAAGUGGAGUGACUCUGAAGGGUCAAGCGAAUCAAAAAAUGAAGAUGGUCAAGCUCACUUAUGUCUAAUGGCAAAUGAUGACAAAGAUGACGAACUAGUACAAACCUCUAAGAGGGAAAAGCAAAAAUGGAUCUUAGAUAGUGGAUGUUCGAGACAUAUGAGUGAUAAAGUUUCUUUAUUUUUCAGAAAUUAAAGAAAAGUGCAGUGGCUCGAUUCUUUAGGUGAAAAAGGUAAAAACAAAUUAUUAGGUGUUGGCAAAGUUAGUAAGGAUCCUUCUAAAGUUAUGAUAAAUGUUUAUUUGGUUGAAGGUCUAAAAUUUAAUUUUUUAUAUGUGUCUUAAUUAUGCGAUAAAGGUAAUCAAGAGAUAUUUGAUAAAGAAAAAUGUGUUGUCAAAAAUCCUAACACCAGAGAUACAUUUAUUACCGCCCUUAGACAUGAUAAUGUUUAUGCUUUGGAUACUAACAAAAUUGCAGCUCAAAACUUGAAGUCUUUAAAGGCUAUAACGGAUGAUCCAAAGCUAUGGCAUAGAAGUCUUGGUCACAUCAAUACACACACCAUGCACAAAUUAGUAAGUAAAGAUCUGGUUAAGGGAAUUCCAACUCUUGAAUACAAGCAGAGUCCUUCAUGUGAUGCAUGCAUUAGAGGUAAACAAGUAAGAAGUUCAUUUACACCGAAAAAAAUGGUAAGCACUUCUAAACCAUCUGAACUUCUACAUAUUGAUCUAUGUGGUCCAAUGCGUGUGAGGAGCAUACAAGGUAAAUCUUAUAUCAUAGUAAUAGUUGAUGAUAAUUCUAGAUUUACGUAGGUUGAGUUUUUGAAGCAUAAAAGGGAAGGCUUGAAGCCGUUUUCAAGACGUUGUAAAGAAAUGCAAACUCUGUUGAAUUGAAACAGUCGCAUUAUUAUGAGAUUUCAUUAGUCGUUUUUAGCGCCUAAUUUUUAUAUAUAUUUGUUCGUUACUAAUUAUAAUUUAAUUAGUGAUGGUAGUAAUUUGAAAAAUCCCUACGAUGAUUAGAAACUUGUUAAUUCGUAACGUGAUUAUGAAUCGUAACAAGUAAUGUAAACUUUGGAGGUAAAACUUAAAGUUGAGCAACUACCCCUAACAGUUUGAGAAAAUUUUAAUUAUUACCUGAGCAUAUUAUUUAACCACGAUGGGAGUAAAUUAACAUAUACAAGUGAUUUUUAAACAUGAAGUACAAGUUACAUAACUUAUUACAUGUACAACGAUUUUUACACAAAUUUUAAACUAUCUUAGAUAAACCUUUCUUACACCAUAAUAGACUAAAUUGAGGAAAAAAAGCACCCCAAAUUAGCCCCAAAUAGCAGCCAAUAUGGCCGUCUCCUAUUCCCUUAGUAGCUCCUUGUUCACUUACAUACUCAAGCCAAUCACAAUACCCUAAACCCCUUUUGUUCUACCCAAAGCUUGUGCAUCAUGACAAGCAUACAAGAGACAAAUAUUUGAAGCAAAAACACUCUAUUUUUUGAAUAAUGAAUCAGCCAUAAACCCCAGCACAUUGCUCCUAAGUUCAUCCAUAAACAAACACUAGAAUCCUUCAAACAUUCAAUUACUCAAAAACCUUCUUUUCUCAUCAAAUCUUCUUCAAAAAUCCAUCUAAAACUUUUGAAAAUUUAUGUUUAUAAACUCAAAUCUCCCAUAAAAAUAAUCUUCAUUUCAAGAGCUUUCCAUAGACACCAAACUUGAAGAAAUUCAUCAAGUAUAGAGUAAGUUAUGUGCAUUUCCAAUACUUUUUGUUAGAACUUGUUCAUGUAAAACUUUUUUUUUUGUUCAUGAAUCCUUCUAUAAACUAAGAUUAUUAUAAAAUGGGUAUUUUAUCUCUAAGACUAAGAAAAUCAUCACUUAUAAAUCAAUAAAAAUCGGCUAUAAUAUAAAUUAAGAAGAUGUAUUUCAACAAACAUAUAAAUUUUCUUACUUUAAGGAAUAAGUAAAAUUAUGGGACAUGAUUAAGUAUGUUGCUCAACAUAAUAAGUAUACUCCAAAUAUGUUCAAAUCAUCACAAGAAUUAGUUUAACAACUGCAACUAAGGAAAGUUAAGUGCAUGUUAGAAAUCCAAGAUUAUUAUUAAUUUUUCGAUGAAUGCAAUAUGUUUAGUUGAAGAGUUGGAGUUGAGACUAGAAGGGCAAGGACCCGAAGUUGGAACCACUUAUAAGAACGCAUAGGAGCUUACGUGGGAGCUUACAGAAUAUUUAUAUAAGCUUGGAGUCGAGAGUAAACCCCAAUGGCACCUCGAUGGAGAAUGGAUAUGUGAGCGGAAGAUGAACCCGAGUUGGAGUAUGACUCCCCUUUUGUUUAGAUCUCUUUAUUGUAUUUGAGAGACUAUUAGUUUAGUUGUUUUGAUUUGGACUAUUUUAAGGAUGUAAUUUGAACUUUGGACUUAUUUUGAUUUGGUUGUAAUUUUCCUUUAUUUUAGACAGUUAAGACUUCUGUUAUAUUGCUUUGGUUUUGGUUCAAGUAUUCUACUUGGACAUUGAUUUAUCCUUUAAGUAACCCCUUAAUUGUGUUGGCAAAAUUAAGCUUCCGCUUGAUUAAUACUAAAUUCCAGUUAGUGUUGGCCUUUAUAAUUCGAGGCGGUUACAUGAAUCUUCCAAUAGUUUUGGUUAGAAGUGAUAAUGGGAGAGAGUGUGAUCAACUAGGCUUUCAAUCUUUUUGUGAAAAAUACGGUAUAAGUCAUAACUUUUCAACUCCUGGGACACCACAACAAAAUAGUGUGGUUGAUUGGAAAAAUCGCACUUUAGAAGAAAUGGCCAGGACUAUGCUCAUAGAAAAUGGAUUAGCCAAACAUUAUUGGGCUGAGUUAAUUAAUACAACAAACUAUGUCUUGAAUAAGUGUCUCAUUUGACCUAUACUUAAGAAAACCCCUGACAUGCUAUUUAAAGGUAGAAAACCAAACAUAGCCUACCUUAGACCAUUUGGUUGUAAGUGUUUUAUCCAUAAUAAUUAUAAGGAUAAUCUAGGUAAGUUGGAUGCUAGAAGCGAUGAAGGUAUAUUUCUAGGAUACUCAUUAAAUAGUAAGGCUUAUUGAGUGCUAAUAAGCGAACAAGUAUGGUUAAGGAAAGCAUACAUGUGGUAAUUUAUGAAUCCGACAAUGGAAUAUUAAGUGAACAUUUUAAUGAGUUAAACCUUAACAAACAUUUUGAUGACGUAAGUGAUGAUGAAUUAGAUGCCAAUUAUCAUAGUGAAGAUAAAAUGAAGAAUAUGUAAGAUACUAUACAAAGUCAGCCAACCUGAUCUUGAGAGCCAAGUCAACCAACCUCAAGACCUGGAAAAAGCUCCUGAACGUACUUAUUUUAAUACUUCAACUAAAUAUUCCUCAAAGAAAGUAGGAACGAGUUCUCUAAAUGAUCACACACCAUGCAUACUAAGAAGACGGUUUAGAUUAUCAUCUCAACAUCCUCCGGAAAACAUCAUAAGUCAUCCAAACAAAGGUACUCAAACUCGAUCCUCUCUUAAAAAUUUAUGUGCAUGAUCUGCUUUUGUUUCUCUUGUAGAACCAAAGGAUAUAAAAGAAGCAAUAAAAGAACCGGAGUGGAUCAUUACUAUGCAAAGUGAACUAAAUGAAUUCGAAAGAAAUAAAGUUUCGUAUCUAGUUGAAAGACCACUAGAUCGUACUAUUAUUGGAACUAAGUGGGUCUUUCGCAACAAGCUCAAUGUGGAUGGAGAGAUAAUAAGGAACAAAUCAAGGCUAGUAGCACAAGGCUAUAAUCAAGAAGAAGGUAAUGAUUAUGACGAAACCUUUGCACCCGCAGCAAGGUAAGAAUCUAUUCGAAUUAUGCUUGCUUUUGCUUCGUAGAUGAACAUAAAAUUGUAUCAAAUGGAUGUUAAAUGUGCUUUCUUAAAUGGCUACUUACAAGAAGAAGUAUAUGUUAAACAACCAUCUAGUUAUAAACAUCCGAACUUGCGUAAUCAUGUGUUUAAACUAAACAAAGCAUUAUAUUACAUGAAACAAGCUCCAAACGCUUGGUAUGACAGAUUUAGUUCACAUUUACUUGAUAAUAACUUUCAACGAGGUAAAAUUGAUAAAACGCUUUUUAUUAAGACUAAAGGAAAUGAUAUUCUUGUUGUUCAAAUAAAUGUUGAUGAUAUAUUGUUUGGAGCUACUAAUGAUUCUUUGUUCAAGGAAAUUUCUAAGAUCAUGUGCAAAGAAUUUGAAAUGAGCAUGAUCGGAGACUUAACAUUUUUUUCUUGGACUGCAAAUAAAGUAAAAGAAAGAUGGCAUAUUUAUUUGUCAAAGUAAAUAUGUUAGAGAUCUUUUAAAGAAGUACAAUAUAGAUCAAUGCAAGAGUGCUAAUAUGCCUAUGAGUGCAACACUAAGUCUAGAUCAAGAUAUAAAUGGUAAGAGUACUGUUGAUCAAACGUCUUAUAGAGGUAUGAUUGGUUUUUAGAAUACCAUGAAAUCAAAGAUGAUUUCAAGAAUUGACACGAUCAUGAAGUGCUCUUUCUAUGCACCUUAUAACUGGCAUAAUUCGCAUUUGAAAAACCAAUCAAAGCAAAAUUUCCACAACUAGGGUACCGUAGAGCUAAUUGUCCAGAUAUAAUUAUGUGCUUGUUUUCAAGCUAACCCAAAAGAAUCUCACUUAAUAGCAGUUAAGAGAAUCUUUAGAUAUUUACAUGGGACUAAAGACUUUAGUCUAUGGUACCCUAUUAUGGAAAUUUUAUUUUAAUGGUUUUUCAGAUGCGGAUUAUGCCGGUUAUAAGGUGGAUAGAAAUAGCACUUCAGGAUCGUGUCAAUUCUUGGGAUCAUCUUUGAUUUCAUGGUAUUCUAAAAAUCAAAAUUCAGUGGCUUUAUCUAUAGCAGAAGCGGAAUAUAUAGUAGUCGAUGCAUGUUGUUCUCAAAUUUUAUGGAUUGCACAACAGCUUCGAGAUCUUAAAGUUAAUUUCAAAGGCAUUCCAAUUAAGUAUGAUAAUAUAAAUGCAAUUUGUAUUACUAAGAAUCCUAUACAACAUUCACAUACAAAAGACAUUGAGGUACGUCACCAUUUCAUACACGAUCAUGUUGAAAAAGGUAACGUAACUUUAUCUUUUAUUCCUACAGAAAAUCAAUUAGCGAUAUAUUUACAAAGCCUUUAAGUCUUGAUUGUUUUGCAUAUAUUCGUAUGGAACAUGGAGUGUUGAAUGAUGUUGCAUGAAUUUAGGGGGAGUAAGGGUUAAAUAAAUAUUAUGCAUAUAUUUAGGGGGAGUUAAUUUAGGUACUUAAUCAAAUAUUUCGUAUGAGUAGUUUACGUAAAAAUUUUGAUAUGAUUGCAUGUGGUUAUGUGUGUUUACGGUCAAAAAUAUAUGUAAGUGUGUAGAAAAAUUAAUAUCAAUACAUUAAAAUAUAUUUUAUAUAUAUAAAUGGUUAAAAAUUAAGUACCUUUAAUUAAUAAAGGAUAUUUAAUUUUCUUAAACUAAAUUUGUGCGUUUGGAAAUAAAUCUUGGACGUCAAAGUACAUCUUAAAUAUCUAGUUCAUGAACUUAGUCCUAAUUCAACUAGAACUUAAUUACGGUCAUGAUUAUGAUUUAUGCUCACACCCCCACGUCUCUCAAAUCCAUAAACCAGUCAAUUUUUGUUCCCAUUCAUUAUUGUUUUUUCCCUAGUUGCCAAAUCAGAACUUUAUUGUGUACAAAUCCAUUGUACUUCAUUUCCCUUUUAAAACCCUUGUGAACCGUAUUUUUCAUGCACAUUUCCUUUUCAUCCCUCUUGCUUUCCCUUUCAAGAAAAACAUUUGUUUUAAAGCUUUUCAAGAACCCAUCUAUGGCACCGAAAAAUCACUAGUUCUUCUAGUAAAUCUGAAAAAGGCGAGUCAUCAAAGACUCCAAGGCUUGAAACUCCCAACCCAUCCAUUCCCUCAGCUCAUGCUUCUUUAGAGGUUCCCAAAACUUGGUUUGAAAAUCACACAGCGUUUGGUAGAUUGAUUGAUUUUACAUUCAAGCACAGAUCAUAAUCUUUUGUUGACGUUCUUGAUUACAAUUUCUUUUUAUUCGAAGAUUUUGAUGUUGUUUCAUCCUUUAUUCAAAUAACUCCAGGAAGCUAUUGGAUCCAGUUACCCCAUUCUUAUUAAAAUCUUCUAUUGUAAUCUAUUUUUCAUUACUAUAGAUGACUUUUCGGCCUUGAGGAGUUUUAUCAAAGGCUAAGAGACUGUAAUCUCUAAAAACCUAAUAAAUGAUCUGUUUAAAUUUUCACAUGAUGAGGAAGAUUCCACCCCCAACUUCGUGGCUUUUUGAAAAUGCCAAAGAUAUGUUUGUGCUUACUUCACAUUUUGAUUUUUCUCCAACCCGAGAACUUACUUACAAUGGCUUGAAUCUGUGUGGGAAGUUGCUUCAAUUCCUCUUGCGAACUUGUUACAGAUGCUCACUUUAUUUUAAUGUGUAAAGUAGCUACCGCAAAAAUAAUCGAUUAUGCUUCCCUCAUUAUAUCCAACAUGCAUUUUUAUAGUUCUCCUAUCCACAAUAUUGCUCUUCUUUAUGUUAAUUUGUUAACAUUGGUCUUUGACCAUUUUAAUCUACUCUCUGAUUUAGAGGAAGGGUAUUAUUCUAGUCCUCAGUCCCUUUCUGACAAUAUCCUCCCUUCCAUUAGUAUUUUCAAAGUUCAUGAUAAGUAUGACUUGUACUCAAAUUUCUGAAAAGGAGUAUCUUCUGAAGUUCCAUGGGAAAAAAAUCACCACCUUGAACCAUACAUCAAAGACCACACUACCCAUUCUCACCUUCAGUCCCUUGACUCUGAGGUUAGUGAAAUAAAACUGUCCCUCCUUGAACUUCACGAAAAAGUUUCCACUCUUACAUUUAUGUUAGAUACUUUAAUGAAAGAGAUGAAGGGUACGGUUGUUGCGCAAGUGGUUGAAGAAGAAGACGUGGAGGAAGAAAAGGCUGAUGAAAAGGAGGAGCUAACCAGUGAGGAGGCUGAGCAGGUUGAGGAAGAGGUAGAGAAGGAGAAGAAGAGGAGGAAAAGAAGGAAGAGGAGGUUGCUACCCCAAUUGCUCAAGCACCACCACCACCACCAGUUGAGACUACACCUUGCCUUGGUAAACCCAAAGCUUCCAUGAAAAGGAAGACUAGGUCCAGGAAGCAAUUUCUUUUUAAAAUGUUAGUUUGAUGGACAAUAUUUUUGGCAAACAAUUUAGUUUUUGCAAAAACAAAUCCCAACAUUGUUAAUCCCUAUUUCUUUUUGAUGAAAGUCAAAAAGGGGGAGAAUAUUUUGGUUUGUAAUAGUUAGAUUAGUCAUAGCUUAUUUUGCACGCUGCUUGAUCAUUGGUUUGCUUAUGCUUAAUUAUUUGCUUGAUUGUUGAUAUUGCUCCUAUUCAUAGUCAUGCUAUCAUGUUCAUGCUUGAUUAUUUUGCUUGAUGAUUAUCGUUCAUUUGUUAAUACUGAUUAUUGAUGAUCAUGAUACAUUACUGAUGAUAUGGUCUUAAAAUGAUGAUGAUCGUUUCUUUGCAUGAGCUAUAGUUGGUUGUUUGAUUGCUUGUUGUUUUGGUAAACUUUGAUUGAAAUUAGCUAGAAACGUUGCAUGUUUUUCUAUUGGUAGAUACAUAUUAAAUGUUAUGGAUAUACUCCCUCCUAUUUAUCUAAUGUGUUCCAUUGACUUUUCACCAUUUUCAGGUGGUCAAAUGGGACCACAUGUGAAAGAAAGAUUGUAGUGUUUUUGAAUUUUGAUAGGGGUAAAAUAGGGUUGAUAAGUAUAAAGGUGUGAAAAAGUUAAGUUUAGUAAGGGUAAAUUGGUAAAGUUAGCAUACCCAAAAUAGAAAUGAGACAUUUAGGGUGACCUAACUAAAUAAGGAAAUGGGACACUUUGGAUGAAUAGGAGGGAGUAUUAUGCUUACUGUUCUGUUUGAAUAGAUUUCAAAGUCUUGAAAAUAUUCUGUUUAAUAAUAAUAUUACAUGGUUUAUAAAUUUAUCUAAGUGUUUAUUCUUAUCAUGUUUUAAAUCAUGUUCACAUAGUAAUAUGAUUUAGGAAAAUAUGGUUUUGACUUUCAUAAAGAA